AACAAAAUGGCUGAUAAAAGCGGUAAGUUGUAAACUUAUAUAUGAAUAAUCUUUUGUUA
rnacentral:tRNA from 1 species